UCUUUUUUUUAAGUUUGUUUUUUUGUACAAUCUUGUUGUGUUGUUAUGUAGUAAGACUAAACCGUGCUGCGUAUUUUCUUUUCUCUAACCGAAAACAGUGAAUGCAUUCAUCGGCAUUUUCUCGCUUAAUUUUGGUUAACAUCUUGAAGAAUUGGUCCUUUUGGUCAAAUUAGUUAGGAGUAUAUGAAUGUGAUCAUAUGUUAGUAGCUAUGGAUUUUUUGUCUAACAUAUUAUUCAUACACUAUUAGAAGGC
rnacentral:lncRNA from 1 species